rnacentral:tRNA from 1 species
GGAGUGGUAGUUCAGUAGGUUAGAAUAAAUGCCUGUCACGAAGGGGGUCGCGGGUUCGAGUCCCGUCCAUUCCGCCA